rnacentral:rRNA from 1 species
UACGGAGGGUGCAAGCGUUAUCCGGAUUCACUGGGUUUAAAGGGUGCGUAGGUGGGUUGGUAAGUCAGUGGUGAAAUCCCCGAGCUUAACUUGGGAACUGCCAUUGAUACUAUCAGUCUUGAAUACCGUGGAGGUCAGCGGAAUAUGUCAUGUAGCGGUGAAAUGCUUAGAUAUGACAUAGAACACCAAUUGCGAAGGCAGCUGGCUACACGAAUAUUGACACUCAGGCACGAAAGCGUGGGGAUCAAACAGU